CUUUGGUUACCCUGUGUGAAUAGGGCGC
rnacentral:piRNA from 1 species